rnacentral:rRNA from 1 species
AUGGAUUCGGCUCGCCCCCGGAGGGUUCCCAACAAAUCCCGCCGCCCGGACUGGAGAGAGGAGCUUAGGGAAAAUUGCAUGACAAGAGUUAAAAAUGAGAGGGUUCACUUGCUCUGGAAGAUGAGGAACCAAGGGCAGCCGCCUGCUAAUGACAUGAAAACGGUCGAAUCUGCAGUCAGGAACAUUAUCUCAGAUGAGGUACAGAAACUCAAAGGGAAUGUGAAUGGAAAAGAGGACCAAGAAGUUGAUAUGAUAUGGGAAUAUGAAGGGCCACAAGAAGCUAUGCCCGCUGAAUAUGAAAGUGAAGAUAUGUUGCUUGAAAUGGAAAGACUUCUUUAUGAAGAUCUGCGGGAAGAAAUGAUUCGAAAAGAAAUAGAGGCCCUUGAUGUGGAAGAUGCAUACUUAGCUCAGGCUGUUUUCGAACAUAUGCAAUUAAAGGACGAGGGUGUGGAAAGUGCUAAGGUCUGGUGUCCAGUAUGCAAACAAGGAGAGCUACGAGAAACUCAUAAUCUCAUACACUGUACUUUGUGUAAGAUACGGCUUGACCUUGAAGAAGAUAAGGUAAACCUAGAUUUCUUGCGGGAGCGGUUGGCUAAUGUCCAUAUGGAGCACUUAGACAGAGGAUGCACAUUGUCACCCAAGUUCUGCUUGCAUGAAAUGUUUGGGUUGAAUGCGCUUUACAUCCGUUGCGAUGAAUGCAGCACUUUCGAAGUUGUGGUGUAA